rnacentral:rRNA from 1 species
CAGGACAUAGUUUAAAACAGAACACCCCCCUUACACGGAGGAAAUACUCGUU